UACAGAGGGUGCAAGCGUUGUUCGGAAUUAUUGGGCGUAAAGCGCGUGUAGGCGGCUUUGCAAGUCGGGUGUGAAAGCCCUCAGCUCAACUGAGGAAGUGCGCCCGAAACUGCAGAGCUUGAGUGCCGGAGAGGGUGGCGGAAUUCCCCCAAGUAGAGGUGAAAUUCGUAGAUAUGGGGAGGAACACCGGUGGCGAAGGCGG
rnacentral:rRNA from 1 species